rnacentral:rRNA from 1 species
AUUGAACGCUGGCGGCAGGCCUAACACAUGCAAGUCGAGCGGAUGAGUGGAGCUUGCUCCAUGAUUCAGCGGCGGACGGGUGAGUAAUGCCUAGGAAUUUGCCUGGUAGUGGGGGACAACGUUUCGAAAGGAACGCUAAUACCGCAUACGUCCUACGGGAGAAAGUGGGGGAUCUUCGGACCUCACGCUAUCAGAUGAGCCUAGGUCGGAUUAGCUAGUUGGUGAGGUAAAGGCUCACCAAGGCGACGAUCCGUAACUGGUCUGAGAGGGUGAGCAGUCACACUGGAACUGAGACACGGUCCAGACUCCUACGGGGGGCAGCAGUGGGGAAUAUUGGACAAUGGGCGAAAGCCUGAUCCAGCCAUGCCGCGUGUGUGAAGAAGGUCUUCGGAUUGUAAAGCACUUUAAGUUGGGAGGAAGGGCAGUAAGUUAAUACCUUGCUGUUUUGACGUUACCAACAGAAUAAGCACCGGCUAACUUCGUGCCAGCCGCCGCAGUAAUAC